UCAGAAACAGAUUCUGCUUCCAUCGCUCUGAGGAGGAGGAGAAGGAACCAGCUGUGAUUGGAACCAAACUGUGAGGAAAGGGUGCUAACCACUACACCACAGAGUAGCCCAGCUCCUACAGAGUGAAAACCAUCUUUGGUGGAUCAAUGUCUCUACAUCCUCCCAAACUUGUGUCCUAAAUAACCACAAAAGUUGAACUUAGCUCCUGGAUGAAGCCGUUAAAGCUUUGACGUUGUAACGUUGUGAAAAAGAGUUCAGCAGAGAGAAAAGGAUGGCAGCAAAAAUCUCACUUUAUCAAUAAUGACCAUCAACCUCAUGAAGUCCGGUUGGACGACUUCUGUCUCAAAUUAUGCAUAAAUGAAACAGGAGCUGCACAACCCGGGGGUCCCAAUCACCAAAAGGAGGGAAGGUACAACACUAAUAGACUGAAUGCACGCUUCAGGGUGGGUAGGACUGUCUGCGGGCAAAAAAUGGUCAAACAGGUACACACAAAGUAUCAGCACCACUCGGACAGUGAACACUUAUAGGACACGUUAGGGUGACGUAGGUGGGACGCAUUUUUCGACACCCAAAUCUUGCGCAGGAAGCAGGUUAGUGCCGUUCACGUGAUACGUGCGCGCUCCUUGCUGCACCCUGACUGUU